rnacentral:lncRNA from 1 species
UAGCAGCCGAAGCGACGUAGUCAUCAGGAGCGACAUCAAUGGUAGCGCGUACGUACAUCCUCUGAGAAGAGAUAGAAGAAGCUAGCGAAGAGAAAGAGACAUAUAUUGGGGCUUUCAAUCAAUCAUUACGGUGCCUCGUUCAUCGCACUACCCAUUCAUCUUCCAACCACGAAGGGCAGGAGCUACAUGGCAUCGCACGAUUCGUUUACAGGUACUCUGAGAUGCUGUCGCCGCAGUUAUGACCCCCUGGACUUCCCCUGUUCAUCAGGGGGAGUCCAGGGACCCGUCCCCUGGGACUGCGCGGCCUC